rnacentral:rRNA from 1 species
CGCGUAGGCGGCCACCGCAAGUCAAUUGUGAAAUCUCCGGGCUUAACUCGGAAAGGUCAACUGAUACUGCGGGGCUAGAGUGCAGAAGGGGCAACUGGAAUUCUCGGUGUAGCGGUGAAAUGCGUAGAUAUCGAGAGGAACACCUGCGGCGAAGGCGGGUUGCUGGGCUGACACUGACGCUGAGGCGCGAAAGCUAGGGAGCGAACG